rnacentral:rRNA from 1 species
GAUGAACGCUAGCGGCAGGCCUAACACAUGCAAGUCGAGGGAUAAGCCCUUCGGGGUGGAAACCGGCGCACGGGUGCGUAACGCGUAUGCAACCUACCUUUCACAGGGGGAUAGCCCGAAGAAAUUUGGAUUAAUACCCCAUAAUAUUGUUGGAUGGCAUCAUCUGAUAAUUAAAGUUACGAUGGUGAAAGAUGGGCAUGCGUCCUAUUAGCUAGUUGGAGUGGUAACGGCACCCCAAGGCUACGAUAGGUAGGGGUCCUGAGAGGGAGAUCCCCCACACUGGUACUGAGACAGGGACCAGACUCCUACGGGAGGCAGCAGUGAGGAAUAUUGGUCAAUGGUCGAAAGACUGAACCAGCCAUGCCGCGUGCAGGACAGACGGCCCUAGAGGUUGUAAACUGCUUUUAUAUGGGAAGAAUAAGGAGUACGAGUAC